ensembl:piRNA 21ur-2078 ncRNA
UUUAUUGAUACUUUUGCUACA